rnacentral:misc_RNA from 1 species
GAUGAAGAACGCAGCGAAAUGCGAUAAGUAAUGUGAAUUGCAGAAUUCAGUGAAUCAUCGAAUCUUUGAACGCACAUUGCGCCCGCCAGCACUCUGGCGGGCAUGCCUGUUCGAGGGUCAUUUCAACCAUCAAGCCCCCAGGGGCUUGUGCUGGGGCCCUGCGGCUGCCCGCAGGCCCUGAAAACCAGUGGCGGGCUCGCUAGUCACACCGAGCGCAGUAGCACAUCUCGCUCAGGGCGUGCGGCGGGCUCCUGCCGUGAAACCCCCCACUGUAACCCCAAAGGUUGACCUCGGAUCAGGUAGGAAUACCCGCUGAACUUAAGCAUAUCAAUAAGCGGAGGA